UGGUGCCUUCGGGAACUGUGAGACAGGUGCUGCAUGGCUGUCGUCAGCUCGUGUUGUGAAAUGUUGGGUUAAGUCCCGCAACGAGCGCAACCCUUAUCCUUUGUUGCCAGCGGUUCGGCCGGGAACUCAAAGGAGACUGCCAGUGAUAAACUGGAGGAAGGUGGGGAUGACGUCAAGUCAUCAUGGCCCUUACGACCAGGGCUACACACGUGCUACAAUGGCAUAUACAAAGAGAAGCGACCUCGCGAGAGCAAGCGGACCUCAUAAAGUAUGUCGUAGUCCGGAUUGGAGUCUGCAACUCGACUCCAUGAAGUCGGAAUCGCUAGUAAUCGUAGAUCAGAAUGCUACGGUGAAUACGUUCCCGGGCCUUGUACACACCGCCCGUCACACCAUGGGAGUGGGUUGCAAAAGAAGUAGGUAGCUUAACCUUCGGGAGGGCGCUUACCACUUUGUGAUUCAUGACUGGGGUGAAGUCGUAACAAGGUAACCGUAGGGGAACCUGCGGUUGGAUCACCUCCUUA
rnacentral:rRNA from 1 species